CACCUUCCCUUCGGGGCAUCGGUGACAGGUGGUGCAUGGUUGUCGUCAGCUCGUGUCGUGAGAUGUUGGGUUAAGUCCCGCAACGAGCGCAACCCUUGUCGUUAGUUACCAUCAUUAAGUUGGGGACUCUAGCGAGACUGCCAGUGACAAGCUGGAGGAAGGCGGGGAUGACGUCAAAUCAUCAUGCCCCUUAUGACCUGGGCUACACACGUGCUACAAUGGAUGGUGCAGAGGGAAGCGAAGCCGCGAGGCGAAGCAAAACCCAUAAAACCAUUCUCAGUUCGGAUUGUAGUCUGCAACUCGACUACAUGAAGUUGGAAUCGCUAGUAAUCGCGAAUCAGCAUGUCGCGGUGAAUACGUUCUCGGGCCUUGUACACACCGCCCGUCACACCAUGAGAGUUGAUAACACCCGAAGCCGGUGGCCUAACCGAAAGGAAGGAGCUGUCUAAGGUGGGAUUGAUGAUUGGGGUGAAGUCGUAACAAGGUAUCCCUACGGGAACGUGCGGCUGGA
rnacentral:rRNA from 1 species